ensembl:misc_RNA Metazoa_SRP Metazoan signal recognition particle RNA
GCUGGGCGUGGUGCCUCACGCCUGUAAUCCCAGCACUUUGGGAGGCUGAGGCAGGCGGAUCUCUUGAGGCCAGGAGUUCUAGAUCAGCCUGGCCAACACGGGGAAACCCUGUCUCUA